AGAGGGGAGGCGAGAAGAGGGGAGCCCCUGAGGCGCUAGGCUAGGCCCCCAGAAGUGAAGGCCCAAGAGGGAGGUGGCCAGCUCUGUAUUGGCUUCUUACAAACCUGAACAUCAGAAAAUGACUCACAGCAGGGCAGGGGGACUUCUUGGGAACCUGUAUUAUUUUAAAGCUGCGAAAGUGACUAUCAAGAACUGCAGUUUACUUUAGUCGAGUGUUUGCCAAGCCGUGUGCCAAGAUCUCUUCACACAUUAUCUAAGCUAAUCCUCACAGCACCUCUAAGAGUUGGUUCUAUCAUGAAACCCAUUUUACAAAGGAGAGAAAUGAUGCAAAAGACGGCAAGCAACUUGUCCAAGGUCACACAGUGGAGAUGCAGUUUCGCCAUAUCGCCCAAGCUGGUCUCGAACCCCUGGGCUCAAGUGACCCACCCGCCUCGGCCUCCCAAACUGCUGGGAUUACAGAGGUCCCACAUUCUGAUGACCCCACGGGGACCUUAUAAAGACAGGUGAGCAAGCCAGCCCUGGCUCACUCAACAUGCCCUCAGAAGGGCCUCAAUCCAGCCACCAGAUGGCAGCUGGGAACAAGACAAAGCUUCCCGAAGUCAAAGGAGGCCUACACUUCAGAAGCUGCUUAAACAACCAAUCACACAGUCCUGGGGUUGCCUGAUUCCUCAUCAGAACAGAAGAAAACUCCAUGCCCUUCCUCAUAUGAAUUUUUCUAAUAAAGUAUAAGAAAGGAA